rnacentral:lncRNA from 1 species
GGACUCUGCUGCAGGUAGUAGGUGCACACUGUGCUGACACUUCAGCAGCUCCCAGUGUGGCUUGUGUGGCCAGUGAGCCUUCCUGAGCCCUGGCAAACUACAUGGCUCACUGAUUACUGUCUUGCUUCUUCUAAGCCUAAUGAAACUUGACCUGGUGAGGUUUCUCUUUCCUUUUCCUUAGGUUUAUGGAAAAUGCUUUUCCCUUACUGAAACUUACCAAAUGCAACACUUAAUUUGGGAUGUCUGUGAUGAUAGAGAAGUACGGGGACGUUUUGGUUUGUUUGCACAACCCUAAACGGACUCACUCUGAAAUCUUUCACCUUUUGCAGAAUGGAGAUUUCAUCUUGAUGAGUUUAUCCCUUAACUUUAGUGGACCUACCACAAGGAUGAAUGUCAUCUUUAUAGAGGAAGAAAAAUUACAGAAAGAAUUUUAUAGUGCUGCAGCUUUUCAGUGUGGUGAAUUUAAGAAACAAAAGUGGUGACAGACUUAUCAGAAACAUUGGCUGAAAUGAAGCUGUUGAUCCAAACAUCCUCAUCAUCCUUUAUCCUGAAGCCAAAGCAAAAAUGAGACGUCCCAGUGGGUGUGGGCCAUGCUCAUCUUGCUGUAUCUAUUUCAAAGUGAAGCAAAACAUCUACUUAACUGAGCCUCAGCCUCUUGCUUGGAUUCUUCUGGGUGGCUGUCAGGCCAAGACUGAGGAAAGUGAGGGGCUUUCAACUACUGCAAGGAACACCAUGCAGAGCACAGCAAGGGCACUAGCAUCUAUGGGUCGAGCUCAAAUUCAGAGAAGAGGAGUUUCCCAAAUCCUAGCUGACUCUUCCAUGCACUUGGUCACUGAAGAUUAUCACUGUGGCACUAUCUCCUUUCCUCAGAGCUGGCAAGAGCUUAUUACUCACAGAAGUGCGGAUGAGGGCUGA